GAAAGUAAUGAAUGAAGAAAUUCAUGCUUUAGAUCUUAACAAGACUUGGACUCUUGUUUGUCCUAAACCUAAUAUGAACAUUAUAGGAAGUAAAUGGGUUUUUUAAAUAAAAAGAAAGGUUGAUAGGACAAUUGAAAGAUAUAAGGCUUGGUUAGUGGCUAAGGGUUUCGAUCAAGAGGAAAGGGUAGACUAUGAUCUUACCUAUAGUCCAGUAAUUAGAGUAUCAACAGUAAGAACUAUAAUUGCUCUUGCUGUAAGCUUUAAAUGGCCUUUAAGACAACUAGAUGUAAGGAAUGCUUUUUUAAAUGGCUAUAUCACAGAGGUAGUAUACAUGAAACAACCUACAGGAUUUGUUAAUAAAAAUAAUCCUAAACAUGUGUGCUUGUUAAAUAAAGCACUAUAUGGACUAAAACAAGUUCCAAGAGUUUGGUACUCUAGAUUGCAAUUAUUCUUGAUUAAUCUAGGGUUCUGUAAUAGUAAAUCAGAUUCUUCCCUGUUUUGUUUGGCUAAUGAUGAGAUAAAAAUCUACAUACUAGUUUAUGUAGAUGAUAUAAUUAUAACUGGGGACAAUAAUGCUAAGAUAGAUGAGUACAUCUCAUUUAUUUCUCAGACCUUUGCCUGUAGAGAUCUGGGGAAUUUGCAUUUCUUUCUAGGGCUUGAGUGUAUCAGGAAGAAUGAUGGAAUAAUAAUGUUUCAAGGGAAAUAUAUCAAAGAUCUAUUAGAAAAAUUUGGAUUAAGUUCAUGCUCACCAUGUCCAACUCCUAUGAAAAUUUCACCUAAGCUUACAAAGAUUGAUGGUACAACUAUAGAAGAGGUAACUUUAUAUAGGAGCAUGGUAGGUUCAUUACAAUAUCUGGCUCUAACAAGGCCUGCUAUAGCUUUUUAAGUCAAUAAUGUGAGUCAAUUUUUGCAAAAUCCAUCAGAUAUGCAUAUGAUAGCAGUAAAAAGAAUUUUUAAAUAUUUACAAGGAAUUUUUAAAUAUUUUUAAACCACAUACCAGAACUCCACCUUCUCUAGAAGAAGAUGGACCUGAAUUCAAUGAUAACAUCACUUCUAAAAAUCCAAGCUCAAUCAACCUCAAGUGAUCCCACCACCAAGUCUAGAAGGCCAAGUAAAAGGCCGGGAUACCUAAAUGACUACUUCUGCUCUUUUGCAACAAGCAAAGGAAACUCAAAAGGAACUUCAUUUCUAAUGCAUGAUUACAUAACCUACAAAAAGCUAUCAUCUUCCUGUUGGAUCGAGAUCCGAGGCUAUAAGGGGGGAUAAUAGCCUCUUUUCAAUUUAUGCAAGUUAAUAGCGGAAUUACCUGCACACACUUAAGUACACAAAUAGUUGUAUAAUAAUAAUAGUAUAAUAUUCUUAGCAAUACAAUACUAUUAUAUAAUUUUAAAGAAUAUAAUAUUAUAUCUUAUAAUAUUAUAUAUUGGACUUGCCUUUUACUCUUGAAGUUUACUACAGUAUAUGAAUACGUAGUCAACUUUUCAGAUGGUGUUUUAUAAACAACUAUAGUAUAUGAAUACUAAGUUAUAUUAUAAACACAAGUUAUAUUAUAGAGUAAAUGACUAGAUAACUGGAUAUAUUGAUAAGCAAGUAAAUGACCAGAUAACUGGAUAUAUUGAUAAACAAGUAAAUGACCAGAUAACUGAAUAUAUAUAUGAUAAGUAAAUGCUUGAACAAAUAUAUGAAUAAAGAUUUAAAGCAAUGAAUAUAACCUCAGAUAGUUGACCAGAUAACUGGAUGAGGGAUCUGCGUAAAGUAGUCAACCUCUGUAUUUGACCAGAUAACUGGAAGAGGGAUCCUUUUCAAUUAAGUGUUGUUUAGUUGUUUUUAGAUGAAAGAUAAAAACUAGAGUUAACAAAGAACAACACAAGAGAUUUAUACUGGUUCACCCAAACAAGGGCUAGUCCAGUCCCGACCAACUGCCGGAAUUCACUCGCCUAAAGGUUAUGGCAAAACCAUAGAGUAUCAAGGAAACUCUUAAGAACCUUUCUAAGCUUUAAGGCUACUUCGCUUAGGAACCAGUCUUUUACGGGUAGACUCACACCUUAGAGUAUCAAUGACACUCUUAAGAAUCUCUAACUUUUGCGGGUAAGUUAGUACCUUAAAGUAUCAAGGAACUCUUAAAAACCUCUCUAAGCUUUAAGGCUACUUCGCUUAGGAACCAGUCUUUUACGGGUAGACUCACACCUUAGAGUAUCAAGGGCACUCUUAAGAACCUCUAACUUUUACGGGUAAGUUAGUACCUUAGAGUAUCAAGGAACUCUUAAAAACCUCUGAAAUCUUUCAAGGUAGACUCGACCUAAGAGUUUUCCCAGAAACUCUAUAAAACCAAACUAGAGCUUUAUGGUUGAGCUCAAAAACCUUCUCUCACACUUUGGUACUAUUGACACAACCCUCUCAACCAAAGUGGACACACACAAGAGAAGAUUAGAGGAGUGGAAUAUUAAAGCAAACAACACUUCUUACUUGUAAAGAUGAACAAGAAGAUUAGAAGAAGAAGUUGGAGAGCUUUUGAAGCUUUGGAAAGCUAUGACACUUGAGCACUUGAAAGCUUGGAAGCUUGGAGGCAAAAACGUGUGGGCAAGUGUGGAGUGAAAGAUCUUGAGUUUGCUUGUAGUGUUGUGAGUGAAAAUGAGGGGAUUAUCCUUCUAUUUAUAGCCUUGGCCACUCAAUGUCCACCCUUGGAUCUUCAAUGGAUGGCUCUUUGAUUUCUCACAUAAAUCCAAGCUUUGUCUUUGAUCUUAUCUUGAAUAGUGCUUUUCUUGGAUAGAGUUUGUUGGAGAAUCUUAUCUUUGUAUAAAUUCAAACUUGAAUAGUGUUUUGUCCCAUUGAAAUAUUAUACCUUGAAUAAAGUGUCAAAAGAUAAUAAUAAUAAUAUUCAAGGUAAAAAUGCAAUUAUUCCAAAUAAUAAUAUUCAAGGUGAAAAUACAAUUCUCCCAAUUUGACUUUUAACUUUGACUUAAACCCUUAACUCAAAUGAUUAAUUAAUUAACUGGAGUUAGGUUUAAUAUCGAUUGACUUAUUUACCCCUUUUGAUUAAUAGUGUAAUUAGGGUUUAAAUUGACAUGAUUAAAAUAUAAUCAUAUAUCGACAAUUUUGAUUCUAUCUACACUUCCCAUACUGAUUUCUUAGACAAAAUCUCUAUCACUAGUGAACCAUCCUCUUACAAACAAACCAUACUUGAUCCCCAAUGGAUCAAAGCAAUGAAUGAAGAGCUAUCGGAAUUAAACAAAACUUGGGAAAUUGUCCCAAGACCCAAUGAUAGAAAAAUAAUUGGAUCUAGAUGGGUAUAUAAAAUCAAGUAUAAAUCCAAUGGUGACAUUGAAAAAAUAUUGGAUUGAAGCCAAUUUUGAUAUACAUUAUAAGACAAGUAUGAUAUGAUAAUUUAAAUUGCCUUGUGCUAAGAUCAUGCAAUGAAUAAUAAUCCAUGUGUGUGUUAUGGAUGAAGAUGAUCUUAUCAUGUAUGGAUUAAAGAUUUUAUAAUGUUAUAAUCCAUAAGAUAUUAGUGAAUGAUAUGUAUAAAUCCAUAAUAUUCACUAAUUGCUUUAAGAAGACAUUGAGCAUUUAAAAUUUUAAAAUCUAUGUCUUAGUGACAAAUAUAAUCAUGUAAAUAUUCACUAAGUUUUAAAAGAUUUAAAAUUUUCAUUUCAGUCCUUAAAGCCUUAGUAGUAAAACUUCACUUAAAAUAAAAUUUCAUUUAAGCCCUUUGAAGUUAUAAUAAAUACUUAGAUUAAUACUUGAAAUAUUUCAUGUAAACCUUGGAAGUAUUAACCAAUUCUAAGCAUUGAAAACUUCAUGUAAAUAUUAAUUUUAAGUCCUUGAAGUUUUAACUAAAUAUUUAUUCACUGUAAAGAUAUCAUCUUGACCCUUAAGGUUUAGUGAAUCUAUUAGAACUUAAAAACUUCAUAAACGAUUUACGUUUAAGUCCUUGAAGUUUCACAAAACUUUAUAUUCACUGAACAAUAUAACUUUAAUCCUUAAGCUUCCAGUGAAUUAUUUUAAACUUAGAAACUUCAAACAUAAUUUAUGUUUAAGCCCUUGAAGCUUCUAGUUUAUUCAUACAACUUAGUGAGAAAUUGAUUUUUCAUUGAAGUUUUUUUUCACUAACAAUAAAGCAAGCUUAGGUCUAUGGUUAGACCUUAAACAAAACAGACUUAAACAAAGUAGAAACAUCUAUUUAACAGAUGUUGUACCAUCGAUCAAACGAAAAAGGAACAUCUAAAUCAGAUAGCAUCGAGUAGGCAUAGCAAGCUAAUCACAACCAUGGUUGAUGGUGUUAGCUUCCUCAGUGGGAACUUUUAACAUCUCGAUUUGAUAUUGCAAGUCUGCGAUCAGAGCUCCUUGGUUUUUAAUACUUGAUUCCAGCACUUUAAUCCUUGAUUUUGCCUCAUCGAUCUCUUUAAACAGGUGAGUAGUUAUCUCAGAUUGACUUACUUGCUUCUUCCCUGUGAUGAGAUCCAUCACCUUUUUCCAGUCUGGAUCAUAAGAAUCCAUUUUGAAGAUGAUAGGAAUGGGUGAGAAAGGAAGGUUUUGGUUUGAGAGUGAACAACCUAGUAUUUAUAGAUGAAGCUUUUAGGUUUCCAAGAAUUUCUUGUUUUUGGUUUGACUAAGCCAUGAAAAAUCGUUUUAUCUUGUAGUCUCCUUCUCAAAAGAGGGUUCUUUAAUUUCCCAUGUACUGACAUGACUUGUUAGAUUUAACAAGUAAUGAGAUUUUGAAACUAUCAUCUAAGAGCUAGCUAGGAUCUUAGCAAGGCUUGUAUUUUAGUGGCUUGUAACCAGAAUAAUAUUUAAUUUAAAACAUACCUUUUGGUGGUCUUCAAUGCAUUCUUUGCACUAUGCACGAUAGUCCAUGCUCCUAGUUGUCGUGAGUGACUAGUUAUGACAGGUUUGCUAGAUGAAGUUGCAGCAUCGAUGUUGUAGAAUGUGCAGAAGACGAUUCUCAAUGCCAUGAGGUAAGGUUUGGAUUACCAAUACCAUGUGAUGUUGAUUUUGCUCAAUAUAUUAUAUUCAAGAUAUGACAUAAUGCAGUAUGGUGCAACAUAAUAUUAAUUUCAUAAUUUUUCCAUACAUGUAAGUGAUGACAUGUCAUAUGCAUGAGUCAAUUUAAACAGUAGUAAAGACAUGACAUAUUUUGGCAUAAUCAUUUCAUAAAAUUAUAAUUUUCAUUGUAUACACAUCGUUUGUUCACUUGUAGAUCAUGUAUGUGAAUGAUAAGCAUGUCCAUGUAAACAACUAUUUAUAGUAGCAUGCAAUGUAUUAACAGCGUUCAAUUGUAAGCAUGCAUCUAAUUUAUAGUAACAUGGCAUAUACGAUAGUCAUGCAUUCAAGUUAAGCUCUUCACGUUAUGCAUGCAAAUGAUGAAUUAUAUGUAUAUACUUAGUCAUGUAAAUCUUAGAUUUGUAAAUUCAUGCAUACGUAUAUUCAUUAUGAUCAAAGUUAUAAGUAUAACGAUAUUCAAGUGAAGAAUAAAACCUGAGAUGCAUUAACUCAUAACUAAUCAAAUUUCACUAAGCUCACAUAUACCCAUAGAUCUUCUGAUUUUUGAAUGAACUUCUUGAUCUAAAGGUUUAGUGAAGAUGUCAGCCAUUUGAUCUUCAGUAGAAAUAUAUUCUAGGCAUAUAUUUUUCUUUUCUACAUGAUCUCUAAGGAAAUGAUGUCUGACAUCAAUGUGUUUAGAUCUUGAAUGUAACACAGAGUUUUUUGAUAAACAAAUUGCACUCUUGUUGUCACAUUUAAGAGCUACUGUUUCUAAAGCUAUAUCGUAGUCGGAUAAUGUUUGUUUCAUCCACAAAAUUUGAGUGCAUGCAUUAGAUGCUGCCAUAUAUUCUGCUUCAGUUGUGGAUAAAGCAAUACUAUUUUGCUUUUUACAUGACCAUGCUACGAGUGAGCUUCCCAACAGAAAGCAUGUUCCACUAGUGCUUUUUCUGUCAGUCUUGCAUCCACCAAAGUCAGCAUCACAGUAUGCUGUUAGUGUGAAUGAGUUGUCCUUAGGGUAGAAUAAUCCAAGUGUAAUUGUUCCUUUGAUAUACCUGAUUAUUCUUUUAACCGCAUUGAGAUGUGACUCUUUUGGGUCUGAUUGGAAUCUAGCACAUAAGCAGACUGCAAACAUGAUGUCUGGUCUGCUGGCUGUUAGGUAUAGCAGUGAUCCAAUCAUUCCUCUGUAUUUCUUAAUGUCUACUGAUUGACCUUCAACAUCUUUGUCCAAUUUAAGAGUUGAACUCAUCGGAGUUGGCAUAGAUUUAGAUUCAGUCAAGUCAAAUUUCUUUAUUAAUUCCUUAGCAUAUUUGACUUGACUUAGGAAUAUUCCAUUCUCCUUCUGUUUGACUUGUAGACCUAAGAAAAAAGUCAACUCUCCCAUCAUACUCAUUUCAAAUUCGUCUUCCAUUUGUUUGGAAAAUUUCUUACAUAGAGUAUCAUCGGUUGAUCCAAAUAUAAUGUCAUCAACAUAGAUUUGAAUUAGAAUAAUGUCACUUUUGACAUUUUUAAUGAACAAUGUAUUAUCUAUACUCCCCAUUCUAAAUUCCUGAGAAGUGAGAAAGUUUCUUAGUCUUUCAUACCAAGCUCGGGGUGCUUGUUUCAGGCCAUAGAGGGCUUUCUUAAGUUUAAGGACGUGAUCAGGGUUUUUGUAAUCUUCGAAACCAGGGGGUUGUCUAACAUAUACUUGUUCAUUGACUAUUCCAUUCAAGAAUGCACUCUUUACAUCCAUUUGAUAUAAUUUGAAAUCUUUGUAGCAUUCAAAGGAUAGGAGCAUUCCGAUAGACUCUAGUCUAGCUACUGGUGCAAAGGUUUCAUCAUAAUCAAUUCCUUCUUGUUGAUUGUAUCCUUGCACAACCAGUCUAGCUUUGUUUCUGACUAUAGUUCCAUCUUCAUCCAGCUUGUUUCUGAAUACCCAUCUUGUCCCAAUGAUUGAUGUAUCUUUUGGUUUUGGAACUAGUUCUAUACAUCAUUUCUCUCAAAUUGGUUGAGUUCUUCUUGCAUAGCUUGAAUCCAGUAGUUGUCGUCGAGGGCUUCAUCAACUUUCUUGGGCUCAAUUUGAGAGACAAAACAGUCAAGAACACUGUUUCCUUGAAUGGAUGAUCUGGUUUUAACACCAGCUUGAUGGUCACCAAUGAUUUGAUCAGUGGAAUGUGGGUUCCUGAGCAACCUAUUGGAUGGAAGCUCAAAGACUUCGAUUUCGACAUUGGUAGUUUCUUCAGUUGGAAUGAUGAUUUCUGGUUCUGGAACUAUUUCAUCUUCUUCUACAAUGGUUGUCUGAGUGGAUUCAUCAAAGUCAAUGUGUAAUGAUUCGAUCAUUAUUUGUUUUUCUUUGAGAAGAAUUUUGUAGGCUUUGCUCCUUCUAGAGUAUCCUACCAGGAUACCUUCAUCAGAUUUCUGAGCAAAUUUGUCUUGGUUGCCUCUUGUUCGGAGAACAUAACAUUUGCAUCCAAAGACCUUGAAGUGUGAGACUUUUGGCUUUCUUCCAUUCUAGAUCUCAUAUGGAGUUUUGUUCAAGGUUUUUCUAAUAAUCACCUUGUUUAAUAUAUAACAGGCUGUGUUAACAGCUUCUGCCCAGAGAUACUGUGGUGAAUCAUGUUCUUGUAACAUGGAUCUACUCAUCUCUUGUAGAGUUCUGUUUUUCCUUUCAACAACUCCAUUCUGAGGGGGUGCUUGGGGAAAAGCAAAUUCAUGUUUUAUUCCAUAAGUUUUGCAAAAUUCUUCAAACUCAGAGUUUUUGAAUUCUCCUCCAUAAUCACUUCUGAUUCUUUUUAUGAGAACAUCCUUCUCAUUUUGUACACGUGUACAAAAUGAUGAGAACUCGUUGAAUAAGUCACUUUUAUUUCGUAAGAAGAAAACCCAAGUAAAUCUUGAGUAAUCAUCUACUAUUACAUACGUAAACCUUUUACCGCCAAGACUUUGGGUUUGGGUUGGCCCAAAUAAGUCCAUGUGUAGAAGUUCCAAAGGUCUGGACAUAGUAAUAUCUGUAAGGGAUUUGAAUGAGCUUUUAUACUGUUUCCCUUUUUGACAAGCAUCACAGAGAUUACUUUUCUCAUAUGCUAUUUUAGGCAGUCCAGUCACCAGUUCUUCUUUUGAUAGUUUGGAUAAUCGAGAAUAACUGGUGUGACCUAACCUUCUAUGCCAUAAAGUCUUUUCAUCACUUGCUGCGAUCAUGCAGAAGUCAUAAGUUAGCUUGGAGGGAUUAAAGGUUAUGGAAUAAGCAUUGUUUUUCCUAUAUCCUUUAGCAAUUAUAACUCCCUUGGAGUUAAUGAUUAAGCAUAGAUGUUUUUCAAAUUUAACUGUGCAAUCAUUAUCACAUAAUUGACUUAUGCUGAUAAAAUUAUGUUUAAGUCCAUUAACUAAGUAAACAUUUCUAAGAAAUGGUCUAUCUAUAUUACCUAUAAUACCCCUACCUACAAUGGUACCUUCGUUGUUAUCGGCGAACUUGACCUUCUUAGUAGUAGGCCAGUCAGUCAAGUCUGUCAGCAGACUUGAAUCUCCAAUCAUGUGCCUUAUGCAUCCACUGUCGAACAACCAUUUUGACAUAUGUUUUUCCUAAAAGAGUUGAAUAACCUUUUGGUACCCAUACUGAGUUGGGUCCAGAUGAAUUAACAUAGUUGAUUUGCUUAUAAUUUUUUAACUCAUCCUUGGUCAUCCAUUUUUGUUUUGGAUGAUUCAUCUUAGAUAGAUCUUUCUUUUUCUUAAGAUGAAUAGGUUUUCUGUAGCUAGAUUCUCUUACAAAAUAAUCAUUAUAAGUUAAAGCAUGUAAAGGUUUUUUAAUAGGUGCACUUGAUUCAAACCCUAAGCCAAAUUUCUUUUGACCUGAGCUUGAACCUUGCAAUAUGUCAUUUAGCUUAGAUGAACUAUUUGAGAAUUUUUCAAGAAUAUUAUUCUUCUGACCUAUUCUUUUGAUUUGUAAUUGCAUAUCAUUACAUUUUUCAGAUAAUUUUUGUAUGGUUUCUACAUGCUCAAGUAUGAUUUUGUCCUUAGAUUCUAUUUCUGUUUUGAGCAUGAUUGUUUCGUUUUCUUUUAACAUAAUAUCAUCUUCAAAAUUAUCUAUUUUUAAUUCUAGCAAUUCAAUCUUAUCAUCAUCCAUUUCCUUAGAUUGAUUUUCUUCAGAUUCUAAAAUGUUAAGCAAUUCAAAGUUUUGACUCUUAAGUAUCUUAAUUUUUUCUUCAUCUUUGUUUAAUUUACUUGUGAGUUUUAGAUUUCUUUCUUUCAAUUGCAUGCAUUCUUUUUGUGAUUCUUCUAAUUCAAUUGAUUGAUUUAUAUGUGAUUUAUUCAUGCAUUAUAGUUUUAAUGACUUAGUUAAUUUUUUCUUAUUUUUAUAUUUUUCCAUUAAUUCUAGAUAUGCUUCUUCUAAAGAAUUAAAUCUAGUAUUUGCAAAACUUACCUCAGAGUUGCUUUCAUGAGCCAUGAGACAAUCUUCUUGAUCCGAGUCGGAGUCUGUCCAUUGUGCCUGAUUUGCUCUUUCUUUCUUUAGCAGAGGACAUUCUGGUUUGAUGUGUCCCGACUUGUCGCAUAGAUAACAGAUUGGUUCUUUUGACUCCUUGCUCAUUCUUCUGUCGAACUUCUGAUGACUUGACCUUGAGUCUUUCUUCUCUUUCCUCUUUUUCAGAUAUCUUCUCAGAUGAUUGGUGAUCAUUGCUAGAUCAUCUUCUGAUGUUUCAUUGUCAGAUUGACUUUUAAGAGCAAUAUCCUUUUUCUCUUCUUUACCUCUAGAGAUGAAUCUUUCUUCUUCAUAGGCCAUCAGAUUUCCACAGAGUUCCACAACUGUAAGUUUGUUGAGAUCAUGAGCCUCUUGGAUAGCAUUCCUUGUGGAGUAGUACUUGUUUGGAAGGCUCCUCAGAAUUUUGCUUACUUGCUUAUUCUCAGUUAUUGGAUCUCCUAGUCCAGCCAGAUCAUUAACUAUUUGUGAUAGUCUAAUGUUCAUCUCUGCGAUAGUCUCGUCUUCCUUCAUAGAGAAUCUUUCGAACUGAGAGGUAGCAUGUAACAGCUUGUUUUUUUUAACAUGGGAGGUUCCUUCAUGUAGAUCCUCCAAUGCUUUCCAUACCUUGUGAGCUGUAUCCAAGCAUCGAAUUCUGUUGUACUCAGAUUCAUUGAGUGCUCCAUAUAGAGCAUUCAAUGCUCUUGAGUUGUUGUUUUCCUUGAGGAUGUCCAUUUCUCCCCAAGUCUCUUCAUUGCUUGUUGGAAUUUCAUAAUCCUCUAAUAUGAUCUUCCAUACUCCAUUGUUGAUUGACUUUAAGUAUAACUUCAUCUUGUUCUUCCAGAAGUCAUACUUUACUCCAUCGAACCUGGGAGGUUUGUUUGACACAAGACCAGUGUUGAAUUCACCAUUUGGUGCCAUAGUUGUUGUUGUAAGAUGUUAGUCAAACUUCAACGGUACUUGGCUCUGAUACCACUUGUUGGAUCGAGAUCCGAGGCUAUAAGGGGGGAUAAUAGCCUCUUUUCGAUUUAUGCAAGUUAAUAGCGAAAUUACCUACACACACUUAAGUACACAAAUAGUUGUAUAAUAAUAAUAGUAUAAUAUUGUUAGCAAUACAAUACUAUUAUAUAAUUUUAAAGAAUAUAAUAUUAUAUCUUAUAAUAUUAUAUAUUGGACUUGCCUUUUGCUCUUGAAGUUUACUACAGUAUAUGAAUACGUAGUCAACUUUUCAGAUGGUGUUUUAUAAACAACUAUAGUAUAUGAAUACUAAGUUAUAUUAUAAACACAAGUUAUAUUAUAGAGUAAAUGACUAGAUAACUGGAUAUAUUGAUAAGCAAGUAAAUGACCAGAUAACUGGAUAUAUUGAUAACCAAAUAAAUGACCAGAUAACUGGAUAUAUAUAUGAUAAGUAAAUGCUUGAACAAAUAUAUGAAUAAAGAUUUAAAGCAAAGAAUAUAACCUCAGAUAGUUGACCAGAUAACUGGAUGAGGGAUCUGCGUAAAGUAGUCAACCUCUGUAUUUGACCAGAUAACUGGAAGAGGGAUCCUUUUCAAUUAAGUGUUGUUUAGUUGUUUUUAGAUGAAAGAUAAAAACUAGAGUUAACAAAAAACAAUACAAGAGAUUUAUACCGGUUCACCCAAACAAGGGCUAGUCCAGUCCCGACCAACUGUCGGAAUUCACUCGCCUAAAGGUUAUGGCAAAACCUUAGAGUAUCAAGGAAACUCUUAAGAACUUCUCUAAGCUUUAAGGCUACUUCGCUUAGGAACCAGUCUUUUACGGGUAGACUCACACCUUAGAGUAUCAAGGGCACUCUUAAGAACCUCUAACUUUUGCGGGUAAGUUAGUACCUUAGAGUAUCAAGGAACUCUUAAAAAUCUCUCUAAGCUUUAAGGCUACUUCGCUUAGGAACCAGUCUUUUACGGGUAGACUCACACCUUAGAGUAUCAAGGGCACUCUUAAGAACCUCUAACUUUUACGGGUAAGUUAGUACCUUAGAGUAUCAAGGAACUCUUAAAAACCUCUGAAAUCUUUCAAGGUAGACUCGACCUAAGAGUUUUCCCGGAAACUCUAUAAAACCAAACUAGAGCUUUAUGGUUGAGCUCAAAAACCUUCUCUCACACUUUGGUACUAUUGAAACAACCCUCUCAACCAAAGUGGACACACACAAGAGAGGAGAUUAGAGGAGUGGAAUAUUAAAGCAAACAACACUUCUUACUUGUAAAGAUGAACAAGAAGAUUAGAAGAAGAAGUUGGAGAGCUUUUGAAGCUUUGGAAAGCUAUGACACUUGAGCACUUGAAAGCUUGGAAGCUUGGAGGCAAAAACGUGUGGGCAAGUGUGGAGUGAAAGCUCUUGAGUUUGCUUGUAGUGUGGUGAGUGAAAAUGAGGGGAUUACCCUUCUAUUUAUAGCCUUGGCCACUCAAUGUCCACCCUUGGAUCUUCAAUGGAUGGCUCUUUGAUUUCUCACAUAAAUCCAAGCUUUGUCUUUGAUCUUAUCUUGAAUAGUGCUUUUCUUGGAUAGAGUUUGUUGGAGAAUCUUAUCUUUGUAUAAAUUCAAAC
rnacentral:lncRNA from 1 species